AUCUUUUUCUAGAGAUUGCUCCUCUGGGAGUUUUUCCUGCAAGCUCGUAAUAUGGCAGCCCUAGUCUACUGGAAAGGUCUCACAUGACUGGAGACUUGCUAAUGUGACUCUCAGGAGCAGAAGGGGGAUCUGGAUCAGACUUUGGUUUGGUUUCUUAUAUGCUUGGUGGAAGAGGCAGUAAACCUGCUGGCUGGCAGAAGAGGGUACAAUGAGGCUACUUAAUGGAUUUUUAGGCUUGAUCCAGUUUAUGAAGAGAUCUAGUGCUCAGCUGUUUCAUCUCCUUAGUUACCAGUUCUUCUCAUAGAUGAGAACAACACUAGAGAUAAAGAGAAUGGAGUGAAAAACAGUAAAGAGAAGAAAAAUGGGACUGAUGUUCUGCACCAGCAAUAUGUGAUUCCCUGUGUGCUGGUCGUGGGGGGGGGGGGGGGGGGGGGGAUGAAGGGUAUCAGAUGACAUGUCAUCCUGAAAGUGAGAGAGAUGGAUUUCUGUGGAAUGCUAAAAGCUUUCUUGUAACAGUGGGGGCUUAAGCAUUUCGGGGAUAGGUGAUGGAACCAGUUACUUUCAUUCCAUGAUGUAAGGUAUAGCAAAGCCUUUUGUCUCGAGUAAUCAUAGUUAAACAGAUGUUGCAGGAGCUCUAGAAGUCCAUGAUUUCACUUUCUGUUUACUUUCUGGUAACUGAAAUGGUUCUGUUUUACCUUGAUUGACUGAUAAGGGGUUCUGGGCCAACCAUUACAACCAGUACUGGUGAUAUUUGGAAGAGUUUUAUUUCUGUGAAGUAUGUUUCUGGAAUAGAAAAUGCAUUAGCAACUGUGGCCAAGAUUGUGUGGAUUUUUAUUUUUGGCUUACAAUAUAUCUGAAAGAUACAACAGGCUAGUGCACAAAUGUAUCUGGAUGCAUGCUUCUUUCCUAUCGGUCCAGUGAUCACCCUACUAUUGUGUUUAUGUUCAGCAUGUCGCCUCACUUCAUGAAGAUGAUAGGAGAGUAGCCUUAUCUGUAGCAGUACUGGAGUAUUAAGAUGAAGUGGUAACUCAAAAGACAAGCAGUGACAAGUAGAUACAUGAAAACAGUAACCCGAUCACUGCUAAACUGAAGCCAGAACAACACUGGAAAGUUGCUUCAGUCAGUGACUUCCAAUUUUUUCACCUUUAGUUAGUAUUAAAUGUUGCUGAAAGGGUUUGAGGAGAUGAUAUUAAUUUACCUCAUUUUUGUCUGCAGUCUUCUAACAUGUCAGAAACUUGUCCUGCUUCAAAUAAGUGAAACUCUUUUGGUUUGAAAGUUUUGUUAUGCUUAUGUAGAAACAGUGUAUCUAAACAAAAAUUAGUUUGGCCAAGGCACUACUUCUUAGGCAGGCCUUGCUCACCUAAUACACAGUAAUUGCACAGUUCUGUGUAGUCCUGCUGAUAUCAAUGGGAAGUCAUGAAUCACCCCAUCUUCUUUCUUUAGAUGUAUUUGCAUUUCACUUUCUAAUCAGGGUUGCUAGCUUGAAAUUUAAGCAGGAGAGAAGGACACAUGUUUUGAUGCUGAAGGUAAUUUUGCUCUCAAAUUCAACCCAAAUCUCUUGAGAAAGUGCAGGAUAACGCAUUUGUGGGCUAACCAGAAUCAGGUUGACCAGGCUGGCCUUGUCCUUGUUCCUUGAUUACAAGUUACUAAUGUAAUGAAUAAAGUAUUUUAAGAUCUUAAUAUCUGCAAUACAUAGAAUUUGAAAACAGUGACAGUGGCCUAGCGUAGAUGUACAUUUCUGUGUGAUGCUUUGGAGAUUUUUUUCAUAGUAGUUGGGAUGUAAGAUAGUGAAUUAUUUAUCUUUUAGGGAGCCAUAACUCUGGCUGUAGCUCAGUGUGUACUAGAAUUGGUGCGCCUCUUAUGGAUCCCCUUUUAAGGAGGUGUUCAUUUUUUUUCUUUCAGACUUCAAAAUAGUUUUUCAUUACUUUCUAGAAAGUGCUAUGUUCUGAUAAAAGUGCUUCUAAGGUUAUGCAUUUUGAUUUUUUCCUUUGCUUCUUCCAAGCUCGCAAUUUUAUACAUCCGAUUGUUAUACGCUGUGAAUGAACAAGAAGUCUAAAACUUGUGCAGCUGUAUCAAGUGGUAGACUGCCUUCUUAAUACAACUAAAGCAGAAGAAUCCUAAUAGGGAUGCAUGGCAUAUAAGCUAAUAAUGUACUUUACUGUUUUGUUUACUAUUUCAAAAUUAAAGAAGUUUUCU
rnacentral:lncRNA from 1 species